rnacentral:rRNA from 1 species
CCCUUAGAUGUUCUGGGCCGCACGCGCGCUACACUGAUGCAUUCAACGAGUUUCUUCCUGGUCCGAGAGGAAUGGGUAACCUUUUGAAAGUGCAUCGUGAUAGGGAUAGACUAUUGCAAUUAUUGGUCUUCAACGAGGAAUUCCUAGUAGACGUAGUUCAUCAGACUGCAUCGAUUACGUCCCUGCCCUUUGUACACACCGCCCGUCGCUCCUACCGAUUGAGUGGUCCGGUGAGGCUUUGGGAUCUGAGCGGAAAGAGCGUUUCGCUGUUUCUGCUCGGAAAACUCAGUCGAACCUUAUCAUUUAGAGGAAGGAGAAGUCGUAACA